rnacentral:rRNA from 1 species
UACGUAGGUGGCAAGCGUUGUCCGGAUUUACUGGGCGUAAAGAGCGCGCAGGCGGUCGUUCAAGUCGCGUGUGAAAGCCCCCGGCUCAACUGGGGAGGGUCACGCGAUACUGAUCGACUCGAAGGCAGGAGAGGGAAGUGGAAUUCCCGGUGUAGAGGUGAAAUUCGUAGAUAUUCGCAAGAACACCAGUGGCGAAGGCGGCUCACUGGCCCGGUACUGACGCUGAGGUGCGAAAGCGUGGGGAGCAAACAGGG